AACGAACGCUGGCGGCAGGCUUAACACAUGCAAGUCGAGCGCCCCGCAAGGGGAGCGGCAGACGGGUGAGUAACGCGUGGGAAUCUACCAAGCCCUAAGGAAUAGCUCCGGGAAACUGGAAUUAAUACCUUAUACGCCCUUUGGGGGAAAGAUUUAUCGGGGUUUGAUGAGCCCGCGUUGGAUUAGCUAGUUGGUGGGGUAAAGGCCUACCAGGGCGACGAUACAUAGCUGGGCUGAGAGGAUGAUCAGCCACAUUGGGACUGAGACACGGCCGAUACGCCUCCGGGAGGCAGCAGUGGGCAAGAUUGGACAAGGGGCGCAAGCAUGAUCCAGCCAUGCCGCGUGAGUGAUGAAGGCCCUAGGGUUGUAAAGCUCUUUCACCGGUGAAGAUAAUGACGGUAACCGGAGAAGAAGCCCCGGCUAACUUCGUGCCAGCCGCCGCAGUAAUAC
rnacentral:rRNA from 1 species